CCUGAGAGAUGCCAGAACAUGCCUGAGGUGCCGGUGGUCAUGAGGAUGAUUGUGCAAAUGUUUGGCAGGGGCAUCUUGUUUCGAAGAUUUCACGGUGCUAAAGAAGUUAAGCCUUGAAGGCCUGUGGCUUGGAAUGAUGGCACAUGAGGUGGAAAGGAAGUUGACGUGUUCCUCAGACCACAACAAGAGGGGCGAGAUCAUGUGCUCUGAUCAAUCGAGAGACCGGAGGUCCUUAGUCCCUGACUCUUAUGCCAUACCUACCUUUCUCAACGUCAUUCCUUUGAGUUAUUUUUCCCAGAGAAGGACCCCAAAUCUUUCCUUGACAGACCCCAUCCAACUAUCAAUGGCAGUUAUCGUCGGUAAGAGUACAACUCUCGCUCUAAGGACCCUAUGGGAACUUCCCAGCUCUGGGACCUUGGAUAACAUCCUGGACCACACACCCUUCUAGCUCACCUGGCAAGGUUAGAAAGAGGCCAGAAAAUCCUAUGAAAGGCCUUCUGAGUCCUGAAGUCUCCACUGGGAGAGAAGAAAGAGAAAAAAACCUUCUCUGCCAAAGGCAACUGCCUACUCCUUUCCCAUGACCUUGCCCUGUUUGGCCUUCUGGAAGGCGGCAUCUCAAAAAGGACUGUCAUUCUACAGCCACAGGGAUGCCAAGAGCU